AUGUUAUGAUCUUCAUUACGCUUAUCUUUACACUUUUGCAUGAGUUUAUAUAGUAACUUGUAUAAUUCAGUCCAAUUAAUGUAUUUGUUGCAAAUAGAAUGUACAUGUUUUUAAUUAUUGCCAUGUACUUGUCAUGUCUCUUUCCCCUUUUAUACAGUCUGGUGAUAUCAUUUGAGGCUGAUUUUCUUAUGGAAUAGUUUUUUGUAAAUAGUUCAGCGGCUAUUCCAGCGUUGGCAGGCCUUUGCAUGGUGCUGCUCACUGCCUUGUCAAUCAAAUAUGAUCAGCAAGAUGACUGGAUUUAUUGGUGACUUCAACUUCAUCCCAUCUCAUACCUGAUGUCCUUUGGUCAGGGGCCUUGUUCUUCUUAUUGUGACGAGUUUAGUUGGCACACCAUUUCCAAGCACCAAUCCUUUUUGGCCCGGCCUCCUCUUACUUUGCCAUCUGGGCCUCCUUUCCUGGUCUUGCCCAUCCUCGUGGGCCUGCCUCUAAUUGUAGUUUUUCUCCCUACCACACGUUUAAUUGUUAACCCAAGGUUUUGACAUGUUCCUUACAACAUCUGCUUCAAGGUCUCCUCUCUAUGGUUUUUACAUUUAUUGUUUUUGAUACUGUAUGCCUAGAAUAAGAAUCUGGGUAAGAGUAAUUAUUAAGAGGUGCUAGGACUUUUGUUUAUGUCCAAUUGUAACUUAUUUUGUUUUGAUUUCAUUUUUUAGGAUAAACAAGAAGUAUUCAUAGAAAAGGUGGUUCGGAAAAGGCAAAAAUGCAUCACCACUGUGAAAAGCCUGGACCUUUUUGCUAAGAAAUCUGCUCGAAUUAAUUGUUGUGUUUUCUAAAUUAGGAAGUCAAUGGACAGGAGCUUAUGUGAUGGAAUUUCAUAAUUUGCUGAUUUCAUUUCCAAUGGAAUUAAGAGACCAGUUGGAAGAAGCAUGAUUUUCAUUCCUUCAAGGUGGAUACGUAGAAGAUUUUGAACUGGAAGAGACCAGUGAGGAAAAUGAAGAUGGAACUCUUGCCUUAGUGAAAGCAAUAGAGAAGGCUCUUCAGGUGAGCAACAAGGACCCUAAAUCGAUAAUCAAGGGAACAGCUAAAUCUGGGACAGAGUAUCUUGCAUCUCGAUCUUAUCACGGUCUUGACAUUCAAAGAAACAGUUCCUUAAUGCUUCACUCUUUUAUCUCGAUCUUAUUUAUAUUGAUUCGGUUUUUACUCUCUUAUUGUUUUUAAUGCUUGAAAUGGUUGGUUUAUUUUUUUAUUUUUUUUCUUCUUGCUGCAAUUCUUGUUCCUUCAAUUGAUAUUAGUGCUCAAUGGAAGACUUGGAAGCUGCUGAAAAGUUGUAUAUUAGUUAUUGGUUAGAACUGGCAACUACUCUUGAAUAUUGGUUCGAUUUAUUUUUU